GACCCCUGCGACGGGAUUUUUCUACAACGGCUAGUUUUUAACCCAUUUUAAGUACUUUUAAUGCUUAUUUAAUGUGCUCUAACGGCUCUUUUUCUGCCUAGAAUAUUUUUCUCUAUUUCUUAAAGCUAUAAAAGGAUUCAAAAGGUGGGAAACAAAGAAGAGAUUAAGAAAAGAAAGAAAGAGAUUGAAAAGAAAAAGAAGAGCAUUCAAGAGAGCAUUCAAGAGCAUUCAAAAGAGAAAGGAUUUCUCAAGCCAACUUUUCAGCCCUAAUCAAGAGCUCAUUUAAAGCCUCCAAGAAGCCAUCAAUCCA
rnacentral:lncRNA from 1 species